GUAGGGCAUGGUGGCGGGUGCCUGUAAUCCCAGCUACUUGGGAGACUGAGGCAGAAGAAUCGCUUGAACCUGGGAGGCAGAGGUUGCAGUGAGCUGAGAUCGUGCCACUGCACUCCAGCCUGGGUGACAAAGCGAGACUCUGUCUCAA
rnacentral:SRP_RNA from 1 species